rnacentral:rRNA from 1 species
GCAGUCGAGGGGUAACAGAGAGUGCUUGCACUUUGCUGACGACCGGCGCACGGGUGCGGAACGCGUAUGGAACCUACCUUUAUCAGGAGAAUAGCCCAGAGAAAUUUGGAUUAAUGCUCCAUAGUAUUGGAUUGACACAUGUUAAUCUAAUUAAAGAUUUAUCGGAUAGAGAUGGCCAUGCGUACCAUUAGUUAGUUGGUAAGGUAACGGCUUACCAAGACAGCGAUGGUUAGGGGCCCUGAGAGGGGGAUCCCCCACACUGGUACUGAGACACGGACCAGACUCCUACGGGAGGCAGCAGUGAGGAAUAUUGGACAAUGGGCGAGAGCCUGAUCCAGCCAUGCCGCGUGCAGGAUGACGGCCCUAUGGGUUGUAAACUGCUUUUAUACAGGAAGAAACCUACUUACGUGUAAGUAGCUGACGGUACUGUAAGAAUAAGGACCGGCUAACUCCGUGCCAGCAGCCGCGGUAAUACGGAGGGUCCGAGCGUUAUCCGGAAUCAUUGGGUUUAAAGGGUCCGUAGGCGGGCAUAUAAGUCAGAGGUGAAAGUUUGCAGCUCAACUGUAAAAUUGCCUUUGAUACUGUAUGUCUUGAGUUAUAGUGAAGUUGCCGGAACAUGUGGUGUAGCGGUGAAAUGCAUAGAUAUCACAUAGAACACCAAUUGCGAAGGCAGGUGACUAACUAUAUACUGACGCUGAUGGACGAAAGCGUGGGGAGCGAACGGGAUUAGAUACCCCGGUAGUCCACGCCGUAAACGAUGGAUACUAGCU